rnacentral:rRNA from 1 species
UACAGAGGUCUCAAGCGUUGUUCGGAUUCAUUGGGCGUAAAGGGUGCGUAGGCGGCGCGGUAAGUCGGGUGUGAAAUCUCGGGGCUUAACUCCGAAACUGCAUUCGAUACUGCCGUGCUUGAGGACUGGAGAGGAGACUGGAAUUUACGGUGUAGCGGUGAAAUGCGUAGAUAUCGUAAGGAAGACCAGUGGCGAAGGCGGCGUUCUGGACUGCAACUGACACUGAGGGAACGAAAGCCAGGGGAGCAAACGGG